rnacentral:sRNA from 1 species
UCUUGGUCAAUUAGAGGAAGUAAAAGUCGUAACAAGGUCUCCGUUGGUGAACCAGCGGAGGGAUCAUUACCGAGUUUACAACUCCCAAACCCCUGUGAACAUACCUUAUGUUGCCUCGGCGGAUCAGCCCGCGCCCCGUAAAAAGGGACGGCCCGCCGCAGGAACCCUAAACUCUGUUUUUAGUGGAACUUCUGAGUAUAAAAAACAAAUAAAUCAAAACUUUCAACAACGGAUCUCUUGGUUCUGGCAUCGAUGAAGAACGCAGCAAAAUGCGAUAAGUAAUGUGAAUUGCAGAAUUCAGUGAAUCAUCGAAUCUUUGAACGCACAUUGCGCCCGCCAGUAUUCUGGCGGGCAUGCCUGUUCGAGCGUCAUUUCAACCCUCAAGCCCAGCUUGGUGUUGGGAGCUGCAGUCCUGCUGCACUCCCCAAAUACAUUGGCGGUCACGUCGAGCUUCCAUAGCGUAGUAAUUUACAUAACGUUACUGGUAAUCGUCGCGGCCACGCCGUUAAACCCCAACUUCUGAAUGUUGACCUCGGAUCAGGUAGGAAUACCCGCUGAACUUAAGCAUAUCAAUAAGCGGAGGAA